UACGUAGGGUCCGAGCGUUGUCCGGAAUUAUUGGGCGUAAAGGGCUCGUAGGCGGUCUGUUGCGUCGGGAGUGAAAACUUACAGCUUAACUGUGAGCGUGCUUCCGAUACGGGGCAGACUUGAGGUACUCAGGGGAGAACGGAAUUCCUGGUGUAGCGGUGAAAUGCGCAGAUAUCAGGAGGAACACCGGUGGCGAAGGCGGUUCUCUGGGAAUAUCCUGACGCUGAGGAGCGAAAGUGUGGGGAGCGAACAGG
rnacentral:rRNA from 1 species